GUAGCAGUGGCCGAGUGGUCAAGGCAACAGACCUUUGAGUCUGAGGGGUAAAUUUCCCGCAUGGGUUCGAAUCCCAUCUGCUACC